rnacentral:rRNA from 1 species
UGAAUACGAGAUGCUACGGCGUCGAAGCAGUCUAUGUCAUACUUCCAAGAAAAGCUUGCACUGUCAUAAACAAAUAAUGCCUGUACCAUAACCGACACAGGUGGGUAGGUAGAGUAUACUAAGGGGCGCGAGAUAACUCUCUCUAAGGAACUCGGCAAAAUGACUCCGUAACUUCGGGAGAAGGAGUGCCUUAUUUAUAAGGUUGCAAUAACAAGACCCAAGCAACUGUUUAUCAAAAACACAGGUCUCCGCUAAGUCGUAAGACGAUGUAUGGGGGCUGACGCCUGCCCAGUGCCAGAAGGUUAAAGAAGUUGGUUAGCAUUAGCGAAGCUGAUGACUGAAGCCCUGGUGAACGGCGGCCGUAACUAUAACGGUCCUAAGGUAGCGAAAUUCCUUGUCGGGUAAGUUCCGACCCGCACGAAAGGCGUAAUGAUUUGGGUACUGUCUCAGAGAGGGACUCGGUGAAAUAGACUUGUCUGUGAAGAUGCGGACUACCUGCACCUGGACAGAAAGACCCUAUGAAGCUUUACUGUAACCUGAAAUUGAAAUUGGACUUUAUUUGCGCAGUAUAGGUGGGAGGCUUUGAAGAUAUUCUUGCGGGAAUGUUGGAGCCAUCAGUGAGAUACCACUCUUGUAAUGUUAGAUUUCUAACUUUGUAUCAUUAUCUGGUCAAAGAACAGUUUCAGGCGGGCAGUUUGACUGGGGCGGUCGCCUCCUAAACGGUAACGGAGGCGCACAAAGGUUUCCUCUGAACGGGUAGAAAUCGUAUCUAGAGUGUAAAGGCAUAAGGAAGCUUGACUGUGAGACCUACAAGUCGAGCAGGGACGAAAGUCGGUCUUAGUGAUCUGACGGUGCUGAGUGGAAAGGCCGUCACUCAACGGAUAAAAGUUACUCUAGGGAUAACAGGCUGAUCUCCCCCAAGAGUUCACAUCGACGGGGAGGUUUGGCACCUCGAUGUCGGCUCAUCGCAUCCUGGGGCGGUAGUACGUCCCAAGGGUUGGGCUGUUCGCCCAUGAAAGCGGUACGCGAGCUGGGUUCAGAACGUCGUGAGACAGUUCGGUCCAUAUCCGGUGUAGGCGUUAGAAUAUUGAGAGGAGCCUUCUCUAGUACGAGAGGACCGAGAAGGACACACCUCUGGUGUACCAGUUAUCGUGCCAACGGUAAACGCUGGGUAGCUAUGUGUGGAGCGGAUAACCGCUGAAAGCAUCUAAGUGGGAAGCCCACCUCAAGAUAAG